rnacentral:rRNA from 1 species
ACUCAAAGGAAUUGACGGGGGCCCGCACAAGCGGUGGAGCAUGUGGUUCAAUUCGAUGCAACGCGAAGAACCUUACCCAGGUUUGACAUGCACUGGACAGGUGUGGAAACACACCCUCUCUUCGGAGUCGGUGCACAGGUGCUGCAUGGCUGUCGUCAGCUCGUGUCGUGAGAUGUUGGGUUAAGUCCCGCAACGAGCGCAACCCUUGUCCCUAGUUGCCAGCAAAUCAUGUUGGGCACUCUAGGGAGACCGCCGUCGAUAAGGCGGAGGAAGGUGGGGAUGACGUCAAGUCCUCAUGGUCCUUACACCUGGGGCUACACACGUGCUACAAUGGCCGGUACAAAGGGUCGCAAUGCCGCGAGGUGGAGCCAAUCCCAAAAAGCCGGCCUCAGUUCGGAUUGCAGUCUGCAACUCGACUGCAUGAAGGCGGAAUCGCUAGUAAUCGCUGAUCAGCAGGCAGCGGUGAAUAUGUUCCCGGGCCUUGUACACACCGCCCGU